UCAGUUUUAGUGCGAGAAAAUGCUAUUUUUCCACUCCGAUCUCAACGCUCUCCAGUUUUGUAUUGCAGGACUACGUUUCGAUACUGUGUACUUGUUUAACGUAGCGAAUAUCUGAGAGUUCAGCACCUGGAACCUGCGGAUUCAGUCCACCAUCCGUUUGAGGUUCUGAAACAAGAAAUUAACAACACUCAGAAAACCUAGCUCAGGAAACAGAUUUCCCUGACCUGAUGGAAUUUCUUGACAAUUCCUGGUUUUCAAGAGCUGAAGACACCAUAUUAAGUCAACUUGUUACUUCCCAUAGUUUCAGAGAAAGAAGUCAGAACUGCAGAAGAAAAAUCUCCGUGCCAGCAGAGGUCAAGUUAGGGACCUUCUUUUCCACAUGCAAAUUUUUCUUAACAUUUGAUUAAAUGCACGGAGGAAGAAAAUACGGAUAUUUCAGCACAGGUUUGACCCUGAAAUCUAAAAAAUUGAAGGAGAUAUUGGUCCUGAAUUUCCGAGACAAAAAAUUUUUAGUUGUAGGAAAACUCGGUUUGAGUGUUUGCAAAAAAUUAAGGAAAAUAUUCUCCCAGAGGAUAAGGUCCCUCCUCACAGAUCAAGUCGCACUUAUUAUUACUUUUGUUUUGAAUUAACAUCCAACAAACAGGGUUUCCGCAGAAUUUAGAAAAUUAUAUGUUUUGACAUUUUCCUGACACAUUUUAGUGAAAUUUCCUUAACAAUUAAAGAUUCACCGAAUGGUUAAAAAUGCGUAAUUUAAAAUAGUUUAUUCACAAAUUUGGUUGUUCGAGACUUCAAAUCUAUUGUUGAAAGCAAAUGAAAGUGAUUCAAUAGUGUUUCCAUGACACCUUUGUCGUUUUCCCUGAUAUGACAUUUCCAGGUUUUCCCUAACCUUUGAGCGUUCCCUGAUAAUUACCAGUAUUUUCUGACUGUGGCAACCCUAUACAAAUUAAUAUAAAUAACUUUCAAAAUAUCAAUGCUUUGGGCUAGAGAACCAAAAGCUUUUCCAAAACUAAGUAAACAAGGCAUAGCUGAAUAAAGUUUUCACAAAUUCAGCAACUUACCUAUCGAAAAACUUACAAGUUUCCAGCACAAAAGAAAAUCAAUGAAGCUCUCAUAACAUUGUCACCGCUAACUUGAAAGUGGAGAAUAAAAAAAAAGUUGGUUCUUCC